ensembl:lncRNA
CAAAAAGGAGUGGUGUAUCAUUUCACGGAUAAGAGCAGAAAUCCCCGGCCUCCCCUGCUGUAAUGGGCAGGUGGUGGCCACAAACAACACCAGUGGAGAAGCGGAAUACCUCUUGCUGAGCGCUGGGUGCAGCACAGGAUCUGCAGAGGCCCUGAGAUGGAACCAACCAUUGGUUUGCACCUCCUGGGAAGCAGCUCCUUCUUCUUUCCUCAUCCUUCCUGCCGUCACCUCCUCUUGGGGACUGGGAGCAGCCCCUGGGACAGCACUGGCACCUGGGUGUCCCCUCACAAUGUCCCACCAUCCUGCACCUCCCUGGGAGUGGGGUGCCAUCACCCAGCGACCAAAUCUGCCAAAGACAAAUCUGCCGCCUGACUCUGCAAAGCAGCUCGGACGCUUUGGAGCCCUCUGCAUGGGAUCAGAUGUACAGAAUGGUUCCUGAUCAGAGUCAAUGAGAAGAGAGAAACAAAGGAAAAGUGCCAAAAGAAAGGAUGAUGCAAGAUGAUUGUAUGAUGUUGUUCUAUAUUGUCAGUAUUUUUCUUCCAAUGCUAUUGUACAUGCAGUGCACAGUAGUCAUGAAGUAUAGCUUGAACAAGCGCUUCUUUGUAUUGUAUCAAUGAGAGCAAGGAGGAGGUAGGAGCCUUAAAGACUAUCGCCAACGUUAAACUGAAGCAUUCAGAGCUGCUCCAGGGGCAGUGGCUCCACAGGGUUCCCAGCUCUUCACCAUCUCCUGACCCUACAGUACCCAUCCCCCAGCAUCCCUAACAGGGAUCCCACUGGAAAUGAUCCCACAGGAAAACCAGGGCCCACCAAGGAUUGUUUCUGUGUCACCGUGGCUGUCUGGGGUGUCACCAUGAUGGUCUGGAUGUAAUCAUGACAGUGUGAGAUGUCACCAUGACUGCUGGGAUGUCACCAUGACAGUUGGGAUGUCACCAUGACAGCGAGCUGCGGGGCAUUUCCUGGAGCACUGCUCCGUGCACCAGCUCAGCACUGGAGCCAUCUCCAUGCGCAGUGCAGUUCUGACGCAAACUUUUAUCUUCCCUGUAUCUUCAAAGCACGGCAACACAUCAGAACAGCCCUAGAACUAGCUACUCACUAUGCAAACAGGAAAAUCUUCAACUGAUGACAAAAGGUUUCAUGUAUGCCUGGUUUUCUUGGUGUUUACUGUCAAACUGUUUGAAACAAAUAUCGAUGUUGCUACACUUUUUUCCAAUAUGCUUUAAAUCGUGCUUUAGUGUUCUCCUCCGCUGCCAUCGGAGCACCGGUGCGGUGAGAGACUACGGUCAUUUUGGGUCUCAGCUGAACCACUGUGGCUUCAUCUGAAUGUUUUAAAAGUGAUGGAAGUUGCUCAAAGACUGUUGACUUGCAUGUGUAAAUGUGUGGGUAAAUGACAUGCAGAGUCCGUCAUGUUGUGGCUUCUGUCAUUUGGAACAGAGUAAAUCCUGCUUGUGAAAAAUUGUCACAAAACAGAAACAUGCCAACCGUGUACAAAUCCUGUGUACCUUUUAACAGCAUCGAGGACUUUAACUGCAGGGCAAAGGCCGAGGUUAAAGCAGAAUAAAACCAGGUUCUGACAGUGAGC